UGGCUGCAGUGGGGAAUUUUGGACAAUGGGCGAAAGCCUGAUCCAGCAAUACCGCGUGCAGGAAGAAGGCCUUCGGGUUGUAAACUGCUUUUGUACGGAACGAAAAGGUCUGGGUUAAUACCCUGGGCUCAUGACGGUACCGUAAGAAUAAGCACCGGCUAACUACGUGCCAGCAGCCGCGGUAAUACGUAGGGUGCAAGCGUUAAUCGGAAUUACUGGGCGUAAAGCGUGCGCAGGCGGUUAUGUAAGACAGGCGUGAAAUCCCCGGGCUCAACCUGGGAAUUGCGCUUGUGACUGCAUAACUAGAGUACGGUAGAGGGGGAUGGAAUUCCGCGUGUAGCAGUGAAAUGCGUAGAUAUGCGGAGGAACACCAAUGGCGAAGGCAGUCCCCUGGACCUGUACUGACGCUCAUGCACGAAAGCGUGGGGAGCAAACAGGAUUAGAUACCCCUGUAGUC
rnacentral:rRNA from 1 species